UGCCUCAUCUGAACUGAUUCUUGGUCUAUGGCCAUACCACCCUGAAUGUGCCCCAUCUCAUCUGAAUUGAUUCCUGCUGUGAUCAGAGGAGAGUGGUUGGGCCAUUCUGCAUAAUUUGGAUUGGAGCAAACAGAAACCUGUACCAUUUUGGAGGAAAAGACAUCUCUUAGAACAGCAACAUUACUAAAUAUUUUAAACUGUACAGUGGACUCAGAUGAGAUCACUACGGAUCGCUCCCUCCUGAUACUAGGACACAACAGCAAGGAGGGCCAAGUCAUUAUGGAAAACAAAGGCACAGAAGAGACCAAGAAUGAACUGACCCAGAAGCCAAUGAUAGCCCCGUAUUUCAGUAGAAGAGCACACUGCUGAGACGACCAGGGAACUAAGUAGAAAUGGGCGGCACGUUAGCAUCAUGGAGAGAGAAGGCAGAGAUGAGUCUGUAAGCUGUUUCCUUUAAAAGAAGAUGGUGGACAGUAACGGAGCCCUUCAUGACUUCUCUUGAGUGCCUGGAUUAAAACUUUCCCAGCAGCACAACAAAGGACAAUGGAUCCACGUGCAUGUGCUAGUCAGCUUGAGCUAAGUUUGUCACCUGUUUACAAAAUGGAUUCCGAUCCAUGUUACCUCACAACUCUUUAAAUAAAUCUAGAAAAACAAAUAGAGAGAAAAACAUGGAGCAAACAUGGAAAAGUCUGAAAACAGACUAAAAUAUUGUGUCACUGUGCUUGCAUAGCACGUAAAUUUGUUUCCAAAUAAAGUCAUUUGGUUCUUUA